AUUGAACGCUGGCGGCAGGCCUAACACAUGCAAGUCGAGCGGGGUUUUCGGACCUAGCGGCGGACGGGUGAGUAAUGCGUAGGAAGCUGCCCGAUAGAGGGGGAUACCAGUUGGAAACGACUGUUAAUACCGCAUAAUGUCUACGGACCAAAGUGUGGGACCUUCGGGCCACAUGCUAUCGGAUGCGCCUACGUGGGAUUAGCUAGUUGGUGAGGUAAUGGCUCACCAAGGCGACGAUCUCUACCUGGUUUGAGAGGAUGAUCAGCCACACUGGAACUGGGACACGGUCCAGACUCCUACGGGAGGCAGCAGUGGGGAAUAUUGGACAAUGGGCGCAAGCCUGAUCCAGCCAUGCCGCGUGUGUGAAGAAGGCCUUCGGGUUGUAAAGCACUUUCAGCGAGGAGGAAGGGUGGUGUGUUAAUAGCACAUCAUUUUGACGUUACUCGCAGAAGAAGCACCGGCUAACUCUGUGCCAGCAGCCGCCGUAACAC
rnacentral:rRNA from 1 species